rnacentral:rRNA from 1 species
GACGAACGCUAGCGGCAGGCCUAACACAUGCAAGUCGAGGGGUAGCAGGAUUAAGCUUGCUUAAUUGCUGACGACCGGCGCACGGGUGCGUAACGCGUAUGCAACCUACCUUAUACUGGGGUAUAGCCCGGAGAAAUUCGGAUUAAUCCCCCAUAGUACUAAUGAAUCGCAUGGUUUAUUAGUUAAAGCAUUGCGGUAUAAGAUGGGCAUGAGUCCUAUUAGCUAGAUGGUGAGGUAACGGCUCACCAUGGCUACGAUAGGUAGGGGGCCUGAGAGGGUGGUCCCCCACACUGGUACUGAGACACGGACCAGACUCCUACGGGAGGCAGCAGUGAGUAAUAUUGGUCAAUGGGCGCAAGCCUGAACCAGCCAUGCCGCGUGCAGGAAGAAUGCCCUAUGGGUUGUAAACUGCUUUUAUUUGGGAAUAAACCUCUUUACGUGUAGAGAGCUGAAGGUACCAAAUGAAUAAGCACCGGCUAACUCCGUGCCAGCCGCCGCAGUAA